CAACUCCACAUCCCAUCCCACACACACACAUUUAGAUACCGGACUAGAGGGAAACCCUUGAAGUUGAAGGAUAUCAGCCCUCCCCUUUCUGGCCCAGGCUGACUCAGUCUAAAGGGAAAAAACAGCCUCGUGGGCAGAAUCCCCAUCCUUUCUUUGUUUUCUAGCUUCCGGGGAAACACCAGGUUCCACGGUGCUUUCCUUCCUGACUCCCCCACCCUCCUUCCAGAAAUCCCCCAACUGCUGCCAAGCUUUGACACAAAGAGAAAGUUUAGAACUACGGCCCCUGUGUGGUCACCUAGGCCACAAGUCCUCCCUCUCCUGGUGACACAGGAGAGGAGUAGGCCAGACCCGGGGAAGACCUUCUGAGGAGGGCUCAUUGGUUACCUAUGAUAAGGAUGCUUUAGGCAUUGAGGGCCCUGGCCAGGCUGGGUCCGCCUCAGCGUGGCAUUAACUGAGCUUGGUGGAGCCUGUGAUCCCUGUGCUUGUGAGGUGGAGGCAGGGGGUCAAUAAGUUCAAGACCUCAGCCAGAGGAGGAAAGUAUGGUGGAGGCACCUGGAGACAGAGUCUGGCACCUGAUGGGCAUGUAGGAGACAGUUCUUUCUCUCCUUGGCAGCUGUUGGGCAAUAAACCCAGAAGGGAGUCACACCCACCUGGGGCUUGGGAGGGGAACCAGGAGAGCACAGCACCUGAAGGGCCUCCUCCCUCUUUGCUGAAUUCAAAGGCUGGCCACACCAGACUUACCUCCACCCAAGGCCGCCCAGCAAGGGUUCCAACCCUAGCACCAUGCAGUGAGAAACAUGAGAGAGCCAGUACCAGUAGGAAAAAGACUCAAGGGAAUUGGAUUCCAACUGUGGAAGCCCAGAAUUGGAGACACACAAGGAAAUGCAAGUCCUGUCCCAUGCAUCUUCUCUACCCAACCUCAAGGUCAAGUAACUGUCCAGGCAGGACCUUCGUGCCUCUCUUUGACUGAUAAUUGAAACAAUGGACACAAGGAAUUGGAAUUUCCGAAGGCAUCUGUUGGUGGGAGCAGGGGAAGACUGACACCUGGGACCAAUCACAGGGGAUCUUGUUUCCAAGGAAGAGAUUUCACACAGUUCUGACAGUUAGUCAGACCCAUCUUGUAGUCGAGAAUGGAAUCUAGACAAUGAUGGGUCAGUGAAGAGCAGGUUCAUACCUUGACCUGCUUAGCUAUGCACUGUUGGCUCUCUAUUUAAAUCUAAACCUCAUUCAGACCUGGGGUCUGGGGUGGAU
rnacentral:lncRNA from 1 species